UACGGAGGAUCCGAGCGUUAUCCGGAUUUAUUGGGUUUAAAGGGUGCGUAGGCGGCCUUUUAAGUCAGCGGUGAAAGUCUGUGGCUCAACCAUAGAAUUGCCGUUGAAACUGGGGGGCUUGAGUAUGUUUGAGGCAGGCGGAAUGCGUGGUGUAGCGGUGAAAUGCAUAGAUAUCGAGAGGAACACUCGUGGCGAAGGCGGGUUCCUGGACAUUAACUGACGCUGAGGCACGAAGGCCAGGGGAGCGAAAGGG
rnacentral:rRNA from 1 species